AUGCUGAAAGCAAAGCACACCCAGCUCUUAAACUCCAGAAAGUGCCUAAAGCUACCUUGUUUACACACAGAAAUAUCAGGUGUAACAUCUGGAACACCUUCUCCUCCCAGAAAGCCAAAUAUUGAGGUCAAAGCUUUGGAAUUCCAGUGGUGCUGUGUGUAUGUAGCAGGUACAGGCACAAACAGGAAUAUUUCCCAGUCAAGGUUGGCUACUGUGAAAGGAGGGCAGAACUGUUAGGCUUGACUAAGCCAAGUGCCUGUCCUAGGCUGUCUUAAAAGAUCACUUGGUUAUGCUGGAGAAGACAAAAAUUAAACUGGACUGAAACCAUCACCACUAGUGGCUUUUAUUUUAAGGUGAGAAAUUCACACAUAUAGAAUGCCAAAAGAACAUAAUGUUCCACAAUUUUCACAUAAAGUUCACAGCAUUGUAAGUUAAUGUUAAUAUUUGAAGGAGAUUUGCUAAUUUAUGUGCCAUUAGCA
rnacentral:lncRNA from 1 species